GUGGCUCAGUGGCUCAGGUGGUACAGUGCUUGCCUAGCAUGUGUGAGGCACUGGGUUCGAUUCUCAGCACCACA
rnacentral:tRNA from 1 species